GAUGAACGCUGGCGGCGUGCCUAAUACAUGCCAGUCGAGCGAACGGACGAGAAGCUUGCUUCUCUGAUGUUAGCGGCGGACGGGUGAGUAACACGUGGAUAACCUACCUAUAAGACUGGGAUAACUUCGGGAAACCGGAGCUAAUACCGGAUAAUAUUUUGAACCGCAUGGUUCAAAAGUGAAAGACGGUCUUGCUGUCACUUAUAGAUGGAUCCGCGCUGCAUUAGCUAGUUGGUAAGGUAACGUCUUACCAAGGCAACGAUGCAUAGCCGACCUGAGAGGGUGAUCGGCCACACUGGAACUGAGACACGGUCCAGACUCCUACGGGAGGCAGCAGUAGGGAAUCUUCCGCAAUGGGCGAAAGCCUGACGGAGCAACGCCGCGUGAGUGAUGAAGGUCUUCGGAUCGUAAAACUCUGUUAUUAGGGAAGAACAUAUGUGUAAGUAACUGUGCACAUCUUGACGGUACCUAAUCAGAAAGCCACGGCUAACUACGUG
rnacentral:rRNA from 1 species